AAGUCGUAACAAGGUAACCGUAGGUGAACCUGCGGUUGGAUCAUUAAAAAUUCAACAGGAAGCUCCUCGGCGUUUAAGCCGGGAGCCCAUCCUUUGACACCCUUUGUGAACCAUUGAACCGUAUUUUGGCGAUCGUCGGUUAUGUGCCUCGCGUAAGCUUGCACUCUGAUUGAGGUUGAAUUCGCGCGCUUCAUUGAACGCGGGUUCUGUUUGACUUAACGGUUGAGCACCCCGGGCUAGGCGGGGGCCACUCUCACUCGGCCGUCCUGCUCUUGUUUGAGUGGGAUUGCCUUGGAUCGCGAUUCGCCACCUGGCAACUUAAACCACAUGUCUUAACUUUACAUAUCUGACUUAAAAUGAGAAAUACAAUGAGAAACAACUUUAGACAACGGAUCUCUUGGCUCUC
rnacentral:misc_RNA from 1 species